rnacentral:misc_RNA from 1 species
GAUGAAGAACGCAGCGAAAUGCGAUAAGUAAUGUGAAUUGCAGAAUUCAGUGAAUCAUCGAAUCUUUGAACGCACAUUGCGCCCGCCAGUAUUCUGGCGGGCAUGCCUGUCUGAGCGUCAUUUCAACCCUCAUGCCCCUAGGGCGUGGUGUUGGGGAUCGGCCAAAGCCCGCGAGGGACGGCCGGCCCAUAAAUCUAGUGGCGGACCCGUCGUGGCCUCCUCUGCGAAGUAGUGAUAUUCCGCAUCGGAGAGCGAUGAGCCCCUGCCGUUAAACCCCCAACUUUCCAAGGUUGACCUCAGAUCAGGUAGGAAUACCCGCUGAACUUAAGCAUAUCAAUAAGCGGAGGA